rnacentral:rRNA from 1 species
CCUACGGGUGGCAGCAGUGGGGAAUAUUGCACAAUGGGCGAAAGCCUGAUGCAGCAACGCCGCGUGAAGGAAGAAGGAUUUCGGCUCGUAAAGUUCUAUCAUCAGGGACGAAAAAAAUGACGGUACCUGAAGAAGAAGCCCCGGCUAACUACGUGCCAGCAGCCGCGGUAAUACGUAGGGGGCAAGCGUUAUGCGGAAUUACUGGGUGUAAAGGGUGAGUAGGCGGCAUGGUAAGCAAGAUGUGAAAGCCUUGGGCUUAACCCGAGGACUGCAUUUGGAACUAUCAAACUAGAGUACAGGAGAGGAAAGUGGAAUUCCUAGUGUAGCGGUGGAAUGCGUAGAUAUUAGGAAGAACACCAGUGGCGAAGGCGGCUUUCUGGACUGUAACUGACGCUGAGGCACGAAAGCGUGGGGAGCGAACAGGAUUAGAUACCCGUGUAGUC